CCUCUCCCCGCCCCCCACGCUGCCAGCUCCGAGAGAGGGGGAGCGGAGCAGAACAAGCGAGCGGGAUCCUUGCUGUUUGGAAGCAGCCGAAACUCUCAAAGCACCCGAGAACUUGGCUAAAGCCCGCGUGUGCGCCCAGAGCUGCCUGUCCCCGUUGGAAAAGUGUCAGGCUGCAGGCUCCUGCCAACCUGCGAGGGACGCAGAAAGAGUCCCUGUUGGAAUCAUGACCUUGCACUGGGGAUGCUGUUCAUGCGAACAUCCAGAUCGCAGGCAUAGAUAAAGCAAGAACUUCAUUUAUAGUGUUGGUGUCUACAAGAAACCAUGAGCCAAGAGCUAUGGGCUUUGCUUCGUUGUUGCCUUGAUCUUGUCUUUAGAAACUUGGACAAGCUCCAGGGACGCCCGCCAAGGCAGGUGUAAAUGGCAGAACAGUUUUCUCCUUUCCUGUAAGUGCCCUGAACAUGAUUGGGUAGAUUUCUCCAGAACUUAACUAGAAGACUAUCGACAUCACGUCGGAACUAUGCGAGCUGAAGCCAAGAUCCACCAUGGAGGGAUGGGAGAGGCUGGCUGCAGGGAGGAGAUGACUUCACAAGGGAGAAGCGAGGCUCUCUGAGUUGGUCCCAGGACAGCCAAAUGGCUUGGUACAUCUGCUCGCCCCAGCCACACCGCUUGGAGCAGAGCACCAAAAAUGCUGUCACUUCCACAAAGCAAAAGAUCAAGGCAAGCAGAGAGCAGCCUGCCCGAGUGGAACCGAAGGCAGUAGCAGUCUUGCUUGCCUCCUUAGUUACGUGUUUCAGCUCCUCCUUCCCUCCCUAGAGCCUGACGGAUGUAGGUCAUUUUUUAAAAAGUAUAAAACAUUUGUCUGUCUGAACCAAGAAGACCUGAAGCGUCUAGUUUCUGAACACAAGGCAGCAGCAGAGAUCUUAGAAUCUAUGAGACAAAGAAAAGAAUGGUGCAGAGCUUUGGGGAAGCAGCAAAACUUCUGAAGCUGCUGUUUGUUUCCAGUGGCUGCCAGUCUCCAUGAGACCAAGACUCACCAGAAGCUGCUGCACGGAGAGUACAAACGGACACCACGGUGUCCUGGUGUCUGAAUGGUAAGUAAAGGCGGGAGGCGAGACUGCAGUCAAGGAACUUCUACAGCAGGAAGGAGGUUUAUAGGACUCCAUUGUGCGCAUCCAAACAAAGUAGAGCAGUACGGAGCGGGUGGUCAGUUUUACUCCAUCGCUUUAAAGAAUUGCAGGACUCCUUGAGUACUAGGAACACUACACCCUUAACCCGAAAUAUAAGCAAUCUCAUUUUUAACCCUACAAAACAAUGGAAAUCAAAUAUUUGUUAUCAUGACUCAAGGAUUAGAAGAAUAUGUAUGAGACUUAGCAAAUACUUCUCACAUACAGACUGCUUUCAAUGUCUAUUUGUUCAACUGAGCACAUUUUCUGGGCAUUGUUUUAUAACUUAGGCACUCUUCAAAAAGGUAAGCAUUGCCUCUCAUCCUCAAAGAGUUUCUAAUCUCUGUAGCAAAACUUACUUCAUUAGACUACCAAGGUUACAGUGUUUCUACAUACUGACCAGUGAACUGAGAGGAACACACAAUGGAGUCACGUGGCCGGCUUGGUCAGUUAUCAUUUUAAAAGGGUGCCGUUGUCCACCAAAGGACCAGGGAAGAAUGAUGGCUCAACACAGCUGUUUUCUCCUCAGAAAAUCUGUCCCAUACACGUAUCCUGUGGCAUUGAAUUCCAGGCAUCUUUAUUGCAUACGAAGAAAUCGUAUUUCUUAUCUCUUUGUAAUAAAAACUGUCGGUUGAAUGACUUGGGGUUCAUUUAAAUUUCUGAACUUCUUCCAGAGUUGAUAAAUCAAAUGUUGGUUUUAUCUGUGUGGGGAAGAAAGUAAAUGGUGGAAGGAAAGCAUUAAAUGUCAUCCUAACAAGAGCAGAAAGAGAAGAAAAUAUAUCUCUCUAAGGGUCUCUGACCGCUGGGCAUGGGGG
ensembl:lncRNA